CUGCGGGAUUAGGGUUUAUCUGAGCGCCGUGUAUGUCUAUAAAAGAGCCCCUUUACCCCCUCAAUCUUGCUAGCCUUACUCCCUCUUCAUCUUCUCUGCGAGAUUAGGGUUUCUCUUUGCACGCAUGACUGUAUGAGCGUCUUGGUUUGUGUUCUGUCCAUAUUUCAGAGUUUAUAUUUGUCUGCUGUUGGUAUUAUUUUGAAAAACAGUAGCUAUGAUGGAAAUUCUCUGUGUACCGUAUAUAUCUCCUCGGAGACGAUAUGUGACGGCAACACAACCCUCUAAGAAGUUCUGAGCUCAUUCUUAAUUUUUCUCUUGUUUUUUUACUUUUUAUUUUUUUCAAAGAUUGUGUUUUUGUGGAUUCUGCUAUCCUCUCUUCCCUCUCUCCCCCCCCCCCCUUUUUUUUCAAGAUUCUUAGAUGGCGAUGUUUUUGGGGACUGGAUCGAGGGUCCAAAGGCGACGUGAUGAUAGAAUUCAUUGGUCUGUCAAUCCACUGAAACUAAGUGUGAUGUUUAUCAUGAAUCCCGACAGAGGGAUGCGGGUGCUAUGAUGAGAUUAACACCAGUGGGUGUUUUGGGGCAGUGGACACGACUUUCAUGGUCUUGCCGUGAGCCCUUCUUACAAAACGACUUCUCCUUCCACUGAGCGCCAAAACCCUCUUGAAAACUCAAUUUCAUCAUACUCUAUACAUAAAAAUUUUCAUUCCAUUUCGUUUCUCGCCAGCCAAACAUGCUGCAUUUAUGCUUUGCACCAUUUUUGCGUUCAAGGUGUUAACUAGAAUGUGUAAGCAUGUGUUUUGGGGUUUGAUUUUUAUGAGUAGGCAGGGCAAGAGAAUGGUAGAAAGGUUUCAUGCGCCCUUUACCAAUUCUGGGGGAUAAAUGGUUCCUCCUGGUAUAAUGGCUUGGGCGCUAUAACAAAUCUGUGGCUAUCCUGAUCUGUGGUUUUCUCAGUGCCAUUAGAUCCUGGAAACACCUCAUACAUAUACGUCUCUAUGCAAAAGGAGUCGUUUACAAAUAAUUAAAAAGAAAUCAUUGUCUUUAAUUUUGCUUAAUUGUGUAUUGUUGUGAUAAAGGAAUCGUUCCUACUUAUAACUGAUUUAGAAAAAAAUAUGCAUGUCCAAUUUUCAAA